rnacentral:rRNA from 1 species
UACGAAGGGGGCGAGCGUUGUUCGGAAUUACUGGGCGUAAAGGGCGCGUAGGCGGCCCCUUUUGUCGCGUGUGAAAGCCCCGGGCUCAACCUGGGAGGUGCGCGCGAAACGGGGGGGCUUGAGUUCGGGAGAGGAGAGUGGAAUUCCCAGUGUAGAGGUGAAAUGCGUAGAUAUCGGGAGGAACACCAGUGGCGAAGGCGACUUCCUGGCCUGUUCUUGACGCUGAGGCGCGAAAGCUAGGGGAGCAAACGGG